CAAGUACUCCCUCCGUCCGGAAAUACUUAUCGGGGAAAUGGAUGCAUCUAGACGUAUUUUAAUUUUAGAUACAUCCAAUUUUAUCCAUUUGUACGACAAGUAUUUCCGGACGGAGGGAGUAUAAC
rfam:Triticum aestivum genome assembly, contig: Triticum_aestivum_CS42_TGACv1_scaffold_406132_5BL